GGUUCCUUUUGGUACCACAUAGUCUAAAACUGCAACAGCACAGAGAUUAGCAUGGCCUUUGUGCAGGGAGGACACAAACAGUUUUGAAGUGCCCCAUAUUUUG
rnacentral:snRNA from 1 species